GAGGAAUAUUGGUCAAUGGGCGCAAGCCUGAACCAGCCAUACCGCGUGAAGGAUGAAGGCUCUAGUAGUUGUAAACUUCUUUUAUAUGGGAAGAAACCUACUCUCGUGAGAGUAGUUGACGGUACCAUAAGAAUAAGCACCGGCUAACUCCGUGCCAGCAGCCGCGGUAAUACGGAGGGUGCAAGCGUUAUCCGGAUUUAUUGGGUUUAAAGGGUGCGUAGGCGGAGUAUUAAGUCAGUGGUGAAAUCCUGCAGCUUAACUGUAGAACUGCCAUUGAUACUGGUACUCUUGAAUGUGAUUGAAGUAGGCGGAAUGUGUCAAGUAGCGGUGAAAUGCUUAGAUAUGACACAGAACACCGAUUGCGUAGGCAGCUUACUAAGUCAUGAUUGACGCUGAGGCACGAAAGCGUGGGGAGCGAAC
rnacentral:rRNA from 1 species